UUAAUGCUCCCUUAGAUCCUAAUUUGUGUUUGUAAUCUUGAACUAAAUUCUACUCAUAAAUUUUAAUUUCUUGCAGUUCUAGUAAAAGAAACAUCCAGCACCUCUCUUGUUUGUACCGUCAAAGGUUCUUGAGUCAUGGGCAUGUGAGAUCAACAUACACGCAUGUUCGAUCUAUGUCCUAACUGAGAUGACAUAAAAUCAUGUGUUCAUUCCUGAUGAACCGGACUGUCCAGGGUGCAGACUUU
ensembl:snoRNA